rnacentral:rRNA from 1 species
UACGGAGGAUCCGAGCGUUAUCCGGAUUUAUUGGGUUUAAAGGGUGCGCAGGCGGGGGAUUAAGUCGGCGGUGAAAUUUUGCAGCUCAACUGUAAAAGUGCCUUCGAAACUGGUUUCCUUGAGUGUAGAUGAAGUAGGCGGAAUUUGUGGUGUAGCGGUGAAAUGCAUAGAUAUCACGAGAAACUCCGAUUGCGCAGGCAGCUUACUAAACUACUACUGACGCUCAGGCACGAAGGCGUGGGGAUCAAACAGGAUUAGAUACCCCUGUAGUCCCU